AUCUGUGUACUCGAGUCCUCCUGAAGAGAAUCCUUGUCUUGGCCUGAGUAGAGAGAGCACUUGCAGAACUGGUAGCUGUUUCCUGUUGAUUGUGCUUCGUGGAAUCAGUUCCUAUACAUCUUCAACUGUGCGCUGUCUUUAUCUUGAACUGAAGGACAACUGCUUGGAUUUUGGCAAGAAAAAUUUUCUGGAUUAUAUCCUUAAAACCUUGGUGUUGGAAAGCUGCUGAAGCACAUACUGAUCUUUUCUGGGAGAGUCACGUGCUUCCCUGAAGCAGAAUGCUUCCUCAAAUUGGUCUUGAGGUUGUUUUAGAAUAGUAGCGGGCAUCUGGAAAAACAAAUGUUCCAGUUCAGGAUGUCAUGGGGAAAUUUUAAUACAAGAAAUAUGUAUGAACCCUGUGGUCUGAAAGAACUGCCAGAAGGGAAGCUCAAAGAAAGUCCAUAUCGGCAGUAACAGCCAAGGAGGAGAGUGACUGAAACAUUGAGAACCUGUGUGUUUAGUUGGACUAAGCAGAUUUGUCCAACUAGGAUCAAGAUAUAAGACAUUUCUAUCAGAACCCUAACUGGAACACUUUGGAAUUUGGUCUACUUUUUGCAUCUGCAUCAACUCUUCCUAGUUGUUGUGGGGUUUUUUUUUUUAUCCAGUAACUCAGCUUAAGUUGGUAUAUCUCUGAGUAUGGAAUAAUUAGCCAAUGAAAUCAGUAGAAAGACUUUUUUUUCUGAAUUUGGGAGAUUCUGGAACUUGUUCUAAUCAGUCUAGCCUGUUUGAAGGCUGUAGGUCUCUAUGCAGUGUGCUAAACAAACAAAGUGUUGAGUCAUCUUGUUGCUUGUGCAUUUAUCUUACAUAGAAAGCAUUAUUUCUCCCUUCCUUUUUGAUAUUUUCCUGCUCUUUCCUUUCUGCACUCAUUAAAGUACACUUGGCUUUUGCAAUGCAAAUCUCCUGCCUACUGGAAUUCCAGUUAUUGGAGAAAGGGUGUGUAUUUUUCCACAUAGGAAUGUGAUGGGAAUUGGAUCAUU
ensembl:lncRNA